CCUACGGGUGGCAGCAGUGGGGGAUAUUGCACAAUGGGGGCAACCCUGAUCCAGCGAAGUCGCGUGGGUGAUGAAGCCCCUACGCGCUUUAAGCCUCUUUAGCCGGGAAGAAAAUGCCGCUACUUGAAGAAGAAGCACCGGCGAACUACGUACAAGCAGCCGCGGUAAUCCGUCGGGGGCCAGCGUUAUACGGAUUUAUUGGGUGUAAAGGGUGCGUAGGCGGAAUGCCAAGUCAGCGGUAAAAGCGCGGGGCUCAACCUCGAUCCGCCGUUGAAACUGGCGGUCUUGAGUGGGCGAGAAGUAUGCGGAAGGCGUGGUGUAGCGGUGAAAUGCAUAGAUAUCACGCAGAACUCCGAUUGCGAAGGCAGCAUACCGGCGCCCAACUGACGCUGAAGCACGAAAGCGUGGGUAUCGAACAGGAUUAGAUACCCUUGUAGUC
rnacentral:rRNA from 1 species